CACUCUGCCCCACAUUUGGCCCCCCAUUUGCGCCCCACCGCGCCCCACACCUCCAUGACUCCGCGUUCCUCCGUCCAAAAGCGAAAGAGAAACUGCGGCGCCGAAGCCCCGCCCACACCCGGAAGUGGGAGCACAAAACCCCGCCCACACCCGGAAGUGGGAGCACAAAACCCCACCCAGACCCGGAAGAGGGAGCACAAAACCCCGCCCACACCCGGAAAUGGGAGCAGAAAGCCCCGCCCACACCCGGAAGUGGGAGCAGAAAGUCCCGUCCACACCCGGAAGUAGGAGCAGAAAGUCCCGCUCAAACCCGGAAGUGGGAGCACAAAACCCCGCCCACACCCGGAAGUGGUGGGUCGGAGGCAUUUAGUGUGUGGGGCGGAGUGUGGGGCGGCCCCAACGGGCUCAGCUGUGGGGCGAUGGGGGGCUGGGGGGGCACUUGUGGGUCUCACUGUGGGGCAGAGGGGUCACUUGUGGGGCAGAGGAAGCACUUAUGGGUCUCACUAUGGGGCAGAGGGGUCACUUGUGGGGCCGGGGGGCAUUUGUGGGUCUCACUAUGGGGCAGAGGGGUCACUUGUGGGUCUCAUUAUAGAGCAGAGGGAGCACUUGUGGGGCUGGGGGGGCACUUGUGGGUCUCACUAUGGGGCAGAGGGGUCACUUGUGGGGCUGGGGGGGCACUUGUGGGGCUGGGGGGCACUUAUGGGGCUGAGGAGUCAGUUAUAGGUCUCCAUAUGGGGCUGAGGGGGCACUUGUGGGGCUGGGGGGCACUUGUGGGUCUCACUGUGGGGCAGAGGAAUCACUUGUGGGGCUGGGGGGUCACUUGUGGGGCUGGGGGGGCACUUGAGGGUCUCACUUUGGGGCUCAGGCCAAUCAGAGAGCGAGUUGCCUCAGAGAGAGGUGGGACGGGAGAUCGGCCCAAUCAGAGAGCGAGUUGCCACAGAUCAGGGUAGGAAGGACGGGAGCUCGGGCCAAUCAGAGAGCGAGUUGCCACAGUGCAGCAUAAGACGGACAGGAGCUCGGGCCAAUCAGAGCGCGAGUUGCCUCAGAGAGAGGUGGGACAGGAGGUCGGACUAAUCAGAGAGCGAGUUGCCUCAGAGAGAGGUGGGACAGGAGAUCGGUCCAAUCAGAGAGCGAGUUGCCACACAGCAGGAUAGGACGGACGGGAGCUCGGACCAAUCAGAGCGCGAGUUACCUCAGAGAGAGCUGGGACGGGACCUCGGCCCAAUCAGAGAGCGAGUUCCCACAGGGCAGGAGAGGACGGACGGGAGUUCGGACGAAUCAGAGAGAGAGAGGCCACAGGGAAGGAUAGGACGGACGGAAGCUCGGGCCAAUCAGAGAGCGAGUUACCUCAGAGAGAGGUGGGACGAGAGAUCGGCCCAAUCAGAGAGCGAGUUGCCACAGGGCAGGAGAAGACGGACAGGAGCUCGGGCCAAUCAGAGAACGAGUUGCCUCAGAGAGAGGUGGGACAGGAGAUCGGUCCAAUCAGAGAGCGAGUUGCCACACAGCAGGAUAGGACGGACGGGAGCUCGGACCAAUCAGAGCGCGAGUUACCUCAGAGAGAGCUGGGACGAGAGAUCGGCCCAAUCAGAGAGCGAGUUCCCACAGGGCAGGAGAGGACGGACGGGAGUUCGGACCAAUCAGAGAGCGAGUUGCCACAGGGAAGGAUAGGACGGACGGAAGCUCGGGCCAAUCAGAGAGCGAGUUACCUCAGAGAGAGGUGGGACAGGACCUCGGCCCAAUCAGAGAGCGAGUUGCCACAGGGCAGGAGAGGACGGACGGGAGUUCGGACGAAUCAGAGAGAGAGAGGCCACAGGGAAGGAUAGGACGGACGGAAGCUCGGGCCAAUCAGAGAGCGAGUUACCUCAGAGAGAGGUGGGACGAGAGAUCGGCCCAAUCAGAGAGCGAGUUCCCACAGGGCAGGAGAGGACGGACGGGAGUUCGGACCAAUCAGAGAGCGAGUUGCCACAGGGAAGGAUAGGACGGACGGAAGCUCGGGCCAAUCAGAGAGCGAGUUACCUCAGAGAGAGGUGGGACGAGAGAUCGGCCCAAUC
rnacentral:lncRNA from 1 species